rnacentral:rRNA from 1 species
AUACGUAGGUGGCAAGCGUUGUCCGGAAUUAUUGGGCGUAAAGCGCGCGCAGGUGGUUCCUUAAGUCUGAUGUGAAAGCCCCCGGCUCAACCGGGGAGGGUCAUUGGAAACUGGGGAACUUGAGUGCAGAAGAGGAUAGUGGAAUUCCAAGUGUAGCGGUGAAAUGCGUAGAGAUUUGGAGGAACACCAGUGGCGAAGGCGACUGGCUGGUCUGUAACGGACACUGAGGCGCGAAAGCGUGGGGAGCAAACAGGAUUAGAUACCCUGGUAGUCCACGCCGUAAACGAUGAGUGCUAAGUGUUUGGGGGUUUCCGCCCCUCAGUGCUGCAGCUAACGCAUUAAGCACUCCGCCUGGGGAGUACGGUCGCAAGACUGAAACUCAAAUGAAUUGACGGGG